UCAGUCGCCAGUCACUACUGGUUUCAAAUUCCAUUAAAUGGGUGGUCUCAGAGUAUGGUGUCAAAUCCGAUUCAAAGGUCGAACGGGCGCGAGAUUGCGCAUGUGGUCGGGCCAGCAGAGGACAGGUCCCGUGAGUGCAGGCUAGCGUGGUGCGCGCAAAUUAAACUUGAGAGCUUACGAGUGUGACUUUGAGCGAGCAGUAUUUUCUCACACAAAUGUUUCAUUUUGCUCUCGCAACUGCUUGCCAAUGAACAUAGCCUGUAGCAAUCUACUGAAACGCAAUUGUUCCGAUUUUUGGACCAAUCAUGGCAUGACUACACUCUAACCGGAUUUUUGACCAUACAGAUGAAAGUGGAAGGUAAAAUAAUAGCCAAUAUUGUAAAUCGCUAACCGCAUACUUUGAGAUACAAUCUGAUUUAAAUAAAGAUGAUAACUUUUACAAGUCCACUGUCACUAAUAUCUGGUGGUGAAGUUGUUCUCUGCUCAGCUGACAGAGACAGGAGAUACAGGAGUCCAUUCUGUUCCAAGUAGGGUAACUUGGCUCUCCUCUAUGCACAGCACUCUGGGGACUUCCUGCAGUUGUUCUCAGGAGACAGGUCAGUGUGUGUAGAGAUAACACUUUGACCAGGUGGAGUCAGGCUUCUACUUCAUUGAGCAGGACCACUACACCAACGAGGCAGAGGACGCCAUGUUUGGACCAAUUAUGCUGAUGCCCCACUGUAAGAACCUGGAGAUCUUCACUGGUUCUGAGGGAGGUGACGUGGACACAAACCGUGCCUGGGACACCUUCCAGCGCUACCGCUGUCUGGACAACAGCCAGGGUGUGGUCAAGACAUCUGCUGCAACUUAAACUUUAGUGUGACAGCUCUGCUGCACCUGGGAGCUAAAGGUAUGGCACCACAAUCCCUACAGUCAUGUAUGCUUAAACAUACUUGUAUGCUCAUUUAUGUGUUUCUGGGACCAGAACAUAAUUACAAAUAAUUUGUAGGCUGCAAAUUGACCGCAAGAAGCCCAAACAGAUAGAAUAUUUGACUCAAACAUAAUCAUUUCAAAUCUUGCUUGAAUUUGUUUACGAUCUGUCACGUCUACUCCCACUCCCCACUCCGGGACUCGACGUCGCCGGUUUACAAACCAUCGAUCCUGGUAACCCAUCAUGACGCACACCUGGCAACCCUCAUUACGCACACCUGCGCCUCAUCAUGAGGCACACCUGGACUUCAUCACA